UACAGAGGGUGCGAGCGUUAAUCGGAAUUACUGGGCGUAAAGCGUGCGUAGACGGCUAUCUAAGUCGGGUGUGAAAGCCCCGGGCUCAACCUCGGAACUGCCUUUGAUACUGCAAAUCUCGAGUCCGGAAGAGGUGAGUGGAAUUCCUAGUGUAGAGGUGAAAUUCGUAGAUAUUAGGAAGAACACCAGUGGCGAAGGCGGCUCACUGGUCCGGUACUGACGCUGAGGUGCGAAAGCGUGGGGAGCAAACAGG
rnacentral:rRNA from 1 species